rnacentral:rRNA from 1 species
CAUGCAGUCGACGAUGAAGCCUUCGGGUGGAUUAGUGGCGAACGGGUGAGUAACACGUGGGUAAUCUGCCCUGCACUCUGGGAUAAGCCUUGGAAACGAGGUCUAAUACCGGAUAUCACAAUCUCUCGCAUGGGGGGUUGUUGAAAGUUCUGGCGGUGCAGGAUGAACCCGCGGCCUAUCAGCUUGUUGGUGGGGUAAUGGCCUACCAAGGCGACGACGGGUAGCCGGCCUGAGAGGGUGACCGGCCACACUGGGACUGAGACACGGCCCAGACUCCUACGGGAGGCAGCAGUGGGGAAUAUUGCACAAUGGGCGCAAGCCUGAUGCAGCGACGCCCCGUGAGGGAUGACGGCCUUCGGGUUGUAAACCUCUUUCGCCAGGGACGAAGCGCAAGUGACGGUACCUGGAUAAGAAGCACCGGCUAACUACGUGCCAGCAGCCGCGGUAAUACGUAGGGUGCGAGCGUUGUCCGGAUUUAUUGGGCGUAAAGAGCUCGUAGGCGGUUUGUCGCGUCGGCCGUGAAAUCUCCACGCUUAACGUGGAGCGUGCGGUCGAUACGGGCAGACUUGAGUUCGGUAGGGGAGACUGGAAUUCCUGGUGUAGCGGUGAAAUGCGCAGAUAUCAGGAGGAACACCGGUGGCGAAGGCGGGUCUCUGGGCCGAUACUGACGCUGAGGAGCGAAAGCGUGGGGAGCGAACAGGAUUAGAUACCCUGGUAGUCCACGCUGUAAACGUUGGGCGCUAGGUGUGGGCGACAUCCACGUUGUCCGUGCCGUAGCUACGCAUUAA